UACAGAGGGGGCGAGCGUUGUUCGGAAUUACUGGGCGUAAAGGGCGCGUAGGCGGCCUUCUAAGUCGAACGUGAAAUCCCCGGGCUCAACCCGGGAACUGCGUCCGAUACUGGGAGGCUUGAAUCCGGGAGAGGGAUGUGGAAUUCCAGGUGUAGCGGUGAAAUGCGCAGAUAUCAGGAGGAACACCGGUGGCGAAGGCGGUUCUCUGGGCAUGUCCUGACGCUGAGGAGCGAAAGUGUGGGGAGCGAACAGG
rnacentral:rRNA from 1 species